rnacentral:rRNA from 1 species
AUUGAACGCUGGCGGCAGGCCUAACACAUGCAAGUCGAACGGUAACAGAAAGCAGCUUGCUGCUUUGCUGACGAGUGGCGGACGGGUGAGUAAUGUCUGGGAAACUGCCUGAUGGAGGGGGAUAACUACUGGAAACGGUAGCUAAUACCGCAUAACGUCGCAAGACCAAAGAGGGGGACCUUCGGGCCUCUUGCCAUCGGAUGUGCCCAGAUGGGAUUAGCUAGUAGGUGGGGUAACGGCUCACCUAGGCGACGAUCCCUAGCUGGUCUGAGAGGAUGACCAGCCACACUGGAACUGAGACACGGUCCAGACUCCUACGGGAGGCAGCAGUGGGGAAUAUUGCACAAUGGGCGCAAGCCUGAUGCAGCCAUGCCGCGUGUAUGAAGAAGGCCUUCGGGUUGUAAAGUACUUUCAGCGGGGAGGAAGGGAGUAAAGUUAAUACCUUUGCUCAUUGACGUUACCCGCAGAAGAGGCACCGGCUAACUCCGUG